rnacentral:rRNA from 1 species
AGCAGCCGCGGUAAUUCCAGCUCCAAUAGCGUAUAUUAAAGUUGUUGCAGUUAAAAAGCUCGUAGUUGAAUUUCGGGGUCAGUAGGUCGGUCGUGCCACUGGUAUGAACUGGUUUCACUGAUUCUUCCCUCUUGUAGAACCGUGACGCCAUUAAUUUGGUGUUGCGGGGAAACAGGACUGUUACUUUGAAAAAAUUAGAGUGUUUAAAGCAAGCUAACGCUUGAAUACAUUAGCAUGGAAUAAUGAAAUAGGACGUCUGUCUUAUUUUGUUGGUUUCUAGGAUGGACGUAAUGAUUAAUAGGGAUAGUUGGGGGCAUUAGUAUUCAAUUGUCAGAGGUGAAAUUCUUGGAUUUAUUGAAGACUAACUACUGCGAAAGCAUUUGCCAAGGAUGUUUUCAUUAAUCAAGAACGAAAGUUAGGGGAUCGAAGACGAUCAGAUACCGUCGUAGU